rnacentral:lncRNA from 1 species
AGCAUCUGCAGGGUGUCUCUGGGAGGUGGAGUUGGUGAGAGCAGAGGCAGCUCAGGGGUUUGGGCUAUUCAACAGCCUUGGGAGAGGUGGGUACCAACCUGUCGAGGCCUUUCUGGGCAGCAGGGUGAGGAAGUUCCAGCCAAGCUCCUCCUUGAGUCAGAGCGGUUGGGAGCACCAUCCCUUCUGCCUUUCACACCAGUGUUAAGCAUGUAUGGUUUGCCAAGUGAGUAAAAUCAAGUGUCCUGGUGUGGGGUGGUCUCAUCUCCCUGGGUCUCUUCCUUCAUGCCCUGCUUUGCGUCACUGUGCUGGGGCUGCUUGAUGGGCAAGAUGGGACUUGGGAAGGGUCCAUCCCCUGGCUUCAUGCUGGGAGCAGAGUGAUGCUGGAGACAGAUCUGGAGGAGCACCUUGGGCAGGGCAGGGACCUGAGUGCCCGUGAUGUGAAGCCUUACAAAUCAGCAGACCCAAAAUGCCACCAGAUGGACUCCACUCACUAGCCUUUGUUGUCCUGGCACUUGUAAGAUCAUAGAACCACAGCCUGAUUUGGGUGGAAGGGAGCUUAAAGCUCAUCCAGUUCCAACCCCCUGCCACAGGCAGGGACACCUUCCACUAGAGCAGGUUGCUUCAAGCCCCUGUGUCCAACCUGGCCUUGAACACUGCCAGGGAUGGGGCAGCCACAGCUUCUCUGGGAAAAGUCUGUGCCAGCGCCUCAGCACCCUCACAGGGAAGAGCUUCUGCCUCAGAGCUCAUCUCAAUCUCCCCUCUGGCAGGUUAAAGCCAUUCCCCUUGUCCUAUCGCUGCAGUCCCUGAUGAAGAUGAUGUGAAGAAGUGCAUGGCCUCAGCUGGGGGUGCCAAGAGCUCCUGGUCCUGUAAGAGGUGCCUUUGGGAGGGGGCACCCCACCAGGCUGGGGCAGAGCCAGGUCCCUGGUGCUCAGUUACUUGGGUGCUAUCUCUUUCUAUGUUAGAUAUUUUCACAGAGAACAUCUAUUUUCGUGGCAGCCUCUCAUUUCACGGUCUGUGAUUUCUUUGUGUUGCCCUUGGCAGGCGGCUGAUGCUGGGAAGAAGAAAAGAUGUCCUGAAACUCACCCCUUGUGUUUCGUUAUGUAUUAAAAGGCAAUUUGCUUUGUA